rnacentral:rRNA from 1 species
UGGUGAAUUUUCCGCAAUGGGCGAAAGCCUGACGGAGCAAUACCGCGUGAGGGAGGAAGGCUCUUGGGUUGUAAACCUCUUUUCUCGGGGAAGAAGCCUGACGGUACCCAAGGAAAAAGCCUCGGCCAACUCCGUGCCAGCAGCCGCGGUAAUACGGAGGAGGCAAGCGUUAUCCGGAAUUAUUGGGCGUAAAGCGUCCGCAGGUGGCUUCUCAAGUCGGCGGUGAAAGGCUGGGGCUUAACCCCAGACCAGCCGUGGAAACUGAGGGGCUAGAGAGCGGUAGGGGUAGAGGGAAUUCCCAGUGUAGCGGUGAAAUGCGUAGAGAUUGGGAAGAACACCGGUGGCGAAAGCGCUCUACUGGACCGCAACUGACACUCAGGGACGAAAGCUAGGGGAGCGAAAGGGAUUAGAUACCCCCGUAGUCC